UCGAAACACAGCAGAGCUCCUCACCCCCAACCAUGGAGUUUAGAGACUCAUGCCGUAGAAAAUACAAGUUCUAAGGUAAAAUGUUAUGAGGUACAAAAUGAAUCUCUAAAAGUGAUUUUUAUACUAAACUAGUGACCUAGGUUUACAGAAAAUGAGUAAGCUAAGAUAGAUUAUGCAGAAAUCCACUUCUGGGGCCCACUUGGUGUGUGUUUGGGCUGAGCAUUGAAACUUUCACGUGUAGAGGCUAUUCCUGGCGUUAAACUCCAGCUUUUGUGCCAGUUUGGGUAUUUAACUCCAACUUUUAUGCCAGUUCUGGCGUUUAACGCCAGAAAAGGGUAGAGAGUUGGCGUUUAGACGCCAGUUUGCGUUAUCAAAACUCGGGUAAAGUAUGGACUAUUAUAUAUUGCUAGAAAGUCCAAGAUGUCUACUUUCCAACACAAUUGAGAGCGCGCGAAUUGGGCUUCUGUAGAUCUAGAAAAUCUAUUUCGAGUGCAGGGAGGUCAGAAUCUAACAGCAUCUGCAGUCCUUUUUCAGCCUCUGAAUCAGAUUUUUGCUCAGGUCCCUCAAUUUCAGCCAGAAAAUAC
rnacentral:lncRNA from 1 species